GAAGCCCAAACACUCAAUAUUAGCCAUUAGUAGUAGUAGUUUGGAGAAGGCGAUGGCCGCCCACUCUUGUACUCUUGCCUGGAAAAUCCCGUGGACUGAGGAGCCUGGUAGGCUGCAGUCCAUGGGGUCGCUGAGAGUCAGACACGACUGAGCAACUUACCUUUCACUUUUCACUUUCAUGCAUUGGAGAAGGAAAUGGCAACCCACUCCAGUGUUCUUGCCUGGAAAAUCCCAGGGACGGGGGAGUCUGGUGGGCUGCCGUCUAUGGGGUCACACAGAGUUGGACACGACUGCAGUGACUUAGCAGCAGCAGCAGCAGUAGUAGUUCAGAAGUUUAAGUUUCCAGGUGAUAGUUAGGUCUUUUACCUACUUUUACCUGGAAUACCUACUCAGUAUUCCAACUCUUCUUGCCAGGGGUGCAAUUUGAGUGCUGGUGCAUAUAAGCUAGCCCUUUGAGAUUCUUUUUAAGAGAAAGGAAAAGACUCGACAGUUUAAUAAAUGCUUGUUUCCUAGUUUCCCACAUUUUAUUAGAAAAUAGUAGAUCUAUAUUCUGGUUACCAUCAAUUUUAAAUCACCGAGAAGAAUUAAAAGGGAGGGUGGGGAAACAGCAUUUAUAGAGCACCAACUGUAUGCCACAGAGCAUGCUAAUCACUUUGUGUGCAUCCUAUUUAGUCAUCACAACACAUUUACAUGUUCAGUGUUAUUCUAAUCAUACAGAUGAGGAAACCAAGGCUCUGGGUUAAGUAAUUUGCUCAAGGUCACAAAGCCAGUAAGUUGUAGAGCCCACAGUAUUGCUCAUGUAUUUUCAUAGACUGUUCCUUCAUUAAGAUAGCUGAUAAAUGUUAAAGUCUUGGCAUUGUCUCAAAUUUGACAUGGCAUAUACAGGACUCUGAAUUCCUUUUAAUCAUUCUUUGUCCAGGUGUUUUUUAAUGGUUGGGGAGUUCCAUCUCUGACCUUCUAGAAAUUAUUUUUCUCUACAGAGUCAAGUUUUUGAGUCUUCCUUUUUAACUCGUAUUCACUAGGGAGUUCCACAGCCUUUUACUUUUUUUUUUUCCAUUGGUCUCCUAGUGUAUUUGCAUUUUACGUAAUAUAUUGAUCCCCUCACCACCUUUACUCUCCACAGAGCUGUUAUGAGAGGAAGAUGAUUUGAGGAAAUUCUCUUAGAGGAGAAGUUUUGAGGGGGGACAAAGUGUCCUUAAAGGUGUUGGGGGCGCGUGUAGUUUCCCUGGUUCUGUCUUGUUGCAGCAAAGAUUCGAAGUGAUGGAUGGACUAAUGUUAUAGCUCAGUUUUAUUUGGCAAACAAAGGAAAAUACAUCUUCAAGGCAUGAGGGCAGGCCGACCCAAAAGCUGG
ensembl:lncRNA